CGCCUAUGCGCUCGGGGGCCCGCGCCCGCUCCGGCCUGGGCCGCCAGAAAGUUUUUUAGUUCCGCUUGCAAUGAAAACUUUUCUCUGUCUGUCUCUCUGUCUCUCUCUCCCUCACUCUCUUGUUUUUCCUCUCUAACCCGGAUAUGGGGGGGAAAUGCACGACUUGCCUGAGCCUAUCGGGCCCAGCGCGGCGUGAGGGAGCCGAGCGAGCCGGAGCAACUAUUAUCCGCUUCUCUCCGAGGGCUGCUGCGCACUCGCAAAACGCGGACUGGACUCGGCCCUCGGCGCCGCCGCCGCUGCCGCCUCGCCCAGCCUGGCUCACUGGACCCGGCCCGGGGGAGAGGGGGGCGCAGGCUGCCGGCACUCGCUCGCGGCCCGGAGCUGCUCUUUCCCCUCGUGCCUCCGGUCUCCUUGCCAACCCGCGUCCCUGUGUUUGUUUUCACGUCUAAAGGGAGCGCUACGAAGGUGGAGAACGAGUCUGACGAGCAGACAAAAGAGGGAGAAGGGGCUGGGAAGCAAAGUUGUCUUGUUGGGCCUCCCGAGGUGGUAAGGAGCCGGCGGGGAAGGGAAACGUUUAGCCGGGCCGGCCGAGCAAAAAGCACCGUCUCUCCCAGGAGUUAUGUAACUUCUCACAACCUUGGCCUCUCCGCCUUGAUUUCAGGCCAUCGGCGUAAUUCCCACAACUUCAUCCAACUGGAAAUUAGGAAACACUCAGUGAAGGUUAAGCCGCAAAGACUGCUGUGCCCGGUACACAGCAGGCGCUCAAUAAUUGCUUAUGAUUCACUACUUCGACCCCCAAGGUGAUGUUUAUAUAACUCUUUAAAGGCACCUUAACUAGAGACAUUUCUGUGACUUAAUCCAAGGGCCUUCCGGGUCUUUCUCACAGAUGUGAUUAAUUGCUUUAUGGUACAUAUGGACUUUGAAAAUCAAGCUAUUUCUCAAGUACAAUAAACUUCAAAUGGGCCAUAUGCACUAAUGUGGUACAAUCCUCAUCUUCAUGUUCAGCUGUUGAUACUCACUUGCUUCGUGCCUAGUUCCACUCUGACAAUCAAUAGAUAACUUUAAAGGAUGUAUUAGUGGCAAGCUCCCAGUUGUCCUGGGAAGUGCAGAAGGCCUAGUUCUAUCUGUCUCUUACAGAGAGUGACAUAAUUUCACUGAGGAAUCUCCUUCUUAAUG
rnacentral:lncRNA from 1 species